GAAGAAGAAGAACGAAGA
rnacentral:sRNA from 1 species